CCUACGAGGGGCAGCAGUGGGGAAUAUUGGACAAUGGGCGAAAGCCUGAUCCAGCCAUGCCGCGUGUGUGAAGAAGGCCUUCGGGUUGUAAAGCACUUUCAGUGGGGAAGAAAGCCUUGGGGCUAAUACCCUCGAGGAAGGACAUCACCCACAGAAGAAGCACCGGCUAACUCCGUGCCAGCAGCCGCGGUAAUACGGAGGGUGCGAGCGUUAAUCGGAAUUACUGGGCGUAAAGCGCGCGUAGGCGGUCUGAUAAGCCGGUUGUGAAAGCCCCGGGCUCAACCUGGGAACGGCAUCCGGAACUGUCAGGCUAGAGUGCAGGAGAGGAAGGUAGAAUUCCCGGUGUAGCGGUGAAAUGCGUAGAGAUCGGGAGGAAUACCAGUGGCGAAGGCGGCCUUCUGGACUGACACUGACGCUGAGGUGCGAAAGCGUGGGUAGCAAACAGGAUUAGAUACCCCAGUAGUC
rnacentral:rRNA from 1 species